GUUCCGUGUGGAUUUAUGAAGUGGUCACAUCUCCCCUUCCAGAUAAAGCUUGGCAGAGACUCGGCCACCCAGGGUCACAUUUCCUCGGCAGCCAAGCGCAGAGGGAAGAUUCUCCAAUGUGGGCGUGCAAAUAGGACCACCAGUGGGGAGCAGAGGCCACUUUUCCAGACCAAGAGGAGUCUAGACUAUCACUCACACAUUCCCUGGUCAUCUGGGGCCACCAGAAUUCUGAGAGUGCUUCAGUGGUCUGAAGCAGUGGAUGCAGAGAUUCUGAAACUGGGCAGAGGUUCCAGAAGACAAGUCAUUUUUCUAGACCUCCCAUAGACGCCAUUGUUGAUCAAGCCAUUUUCAUUUUCACGAAGUAUUUUAUUAUGGAACUCCUAAAGACAAUCAGCCCUACCUGGCACUGGCUUUCUGGUUGAAAAGCAGCAUUGUGGAGCCUGAAACAUCAUCAGAGGCAACUGCUUCCCCUCCCUGUGGAUUUAGGACUGCUAUGUGCAGAGGUCUGUAUUAGAGAGCCAGCUAGAGUAGCCAGCAGUGACAUAACUAUGUAGGGAGAAGACACAGUUGUCACCUUGAUCCCACUGGAUACAGAAAUGUCAAUGGAAAAACAAAUUCUGCGUCUGCUGAAUUGUUCUGUCAAUGCUUGCACUUUCUUGUCAUUUACUAUAUAGAAAGAAUUAUUAGUAUCUUUUAUUUGUCAGUUAUUGAUAACCACCUUUUUUUUUUUUUUUUUUUUUUUUGGUGGCAGUUCUCCUGUUUGUUAGUUUGCUGUCCCAGUUGAAUUCUGAGUUUCCGGGAAUCCCUAGUGCAAUGAGAAAUGAUGGAGAACCAAUUCUCAUUAUCUGAUGAAGGAAAGAGCCAUGUACCUACAACAGCAAAGGCUCAGACAAGCCUUCUCCUGCCUUGGGUUCAUGGUCACGUGCUGUAGGUGUCUUGUCUUCCCAUGCGCACCUGUCUGCAUCCUCAUGGUGCAUCCUCAGGAUGUCCCGUACAGUGUCUUACCUAUGGUUAUGCUUCUAUAACAAUGUGCUAAUAAAAGCAUGGAUUACAAAACAAAACAGAAGAUAUGGGUUUCCUUGUUGAUUUAGAUAUGCACAAGCUUUCCGGGUUGGAAGACUGUAGUGUCUGGACUGUCUGGAGUCAGAGCAGUGUUGAAUCUAUAACAGCAAGAAACUAUUUCAGCAGAGCCAGAUGUCAGGUUCUGGGCUGAGCUUUGAUGGAAACUAAAGACAGGACAAGAGGAGUUUGCUUCCCAUGCAGAGGAGGCUGGAAUAUUGUACGUGAGUGAAAUGACGAGCUUUAAAGAUUCAUCUGUGCUGUUAGCCCACUGUAUCAAAUGCUGGAUUCUUUCAUUUUGACUUUUUAAGUUUCUUUUUAGUGGUAGUUGGGAGUGGAGGUGGUUAGUGAGAAGAGAAAGACUUUUUCCUUUUUGAGCACCUCUUUGGACCAUUUACAUUCAUUGACAGCUCAGAAGAAUCCAACAGGGUCCAUCCCCUUUCUCCCUGGAGAGGACGCGGAGCUGUGUAUGGCUAACUCGGACCUCUCAGCUGUCCGGGGCACAAUGGG
rnacentral:lncRNA from 1 species